GGAUGUGGCUCAAGUGGUAACGUGCUCGCCUGGCAUGUGAGAGGCACUGGGUUCGAUCCUCAGCACCA
rnacentral:tRNA from 1 species